rfam:Ictidomys tridecemlineatus contig014208, whole genome shotgun sequence.
UGGGUUGUGGCUCAGUGGUAGAGCGCUUGCCUAGCAUGUGUGAGGCACUGGGUUCAAGCCUCAGCAACACAU